rnacentral:rRNA from 1 species
AAUGAACGUUGGCGGCAUGGAUUAGGCAUGCAAGUCGAGCGAGAAGAGUUUUGAAGCUUGCUUUAGAACUCGGACAGCGGCGAAAGGGAGAGUAACGCGUAGUUAUGUGCCCUAGGGUCCGGAAUAGCCACGGGAAACUGUGGGUAAUGCCGGAUAAUAUCCCCGGAUCAAAGGUGUGAUUCCGCCCUAGGAGCAGACUGCGUCCUACAAGCUAGUUGGUGGGGUAAUGGCCCACCAAGGCAAUGAUGGGUAGCGGGUGUGAGAGCAUGACCCGUCUCACUGGGACUGAGACACGGCCCAGACACCUACGGGUGGCUGCAGUCGAGAAUCUUCGGCAAUGGGCGAAAGCCUGACCGAGCGAUGCCGCGUGCGGGAUGAAGGCCCUCGGGUUGUAAACCGCUGUCGUAGGGGAGGAAGGUUCCGUGAAGAGCGGGACUUGACCUAUCCUAGGAGGAAGUACGGGCUAAGUUCGUGCCAGCAGCCGCCGUAACAC